GGUUGGUCCGAGUGCAGUGGUGUUUACAACUAAUUGAUCACAACCAGUUACAGGUUCCUUUGUUCCUUCUCCACUCCCACUGCUUCACUUGACCAGCCUUUA
rnacentral:Y_RNA from 1 species